rnacentral:rRNA from 1 species
UACGUAGGGUGCUAGCGUUGUUCGGAAUCAUUGGGCGUAAAGCGAGUGUAGGUGGUCAGUAAAGUCGGGUGUGAAAGCCCACGGCUCAACCGUGGAAGUGCAUUCGAAACUAACUGGCUAGAAGAUGGUAGAGGAAGGUGGAAUUCCUAGUGUAGAGGUGAAAUUCGUAGAUAUUAGGAGGAAUACCGGUGGCGAAGGCGGCCUUCUGGGCCAUUCUUGACACUGAGACUCGAAAGCGUGGGUAGCAAACAGG